CCCCGGUUCGGGGGCAGCGGUGGGAAUUUCGCAAUGGACAAAGUGGAGGAGCACGCCGCGUGAGUAUGAGGUUUCGGUCGUAAGCUUUGUUGUUAGGGAGGACAAGUACCGUUCGAAUAGGGCGGUACCUUGACGGUACCUACCAGAAAGCCACGGCUAACUACGUGCCAGCAGCCGCGGUAAUACGUAGGUGGCAAGCGUUGUCCGGAAUUAUUGGGCGUAAAGGGCUCGCAGGCGGUUUCUUAAGUCUGAUGUGAAAGCCCCCGGCUCAACCGGGGAGGGUCAUUGGAAACUGGGGAACUUGAGUGCAGAAGAGGAGAGUGGAAUUCCACGUGUAGCGGUGAAAUGCGUAGAGAUGUGGAGGAACACCAGUGGCGAAGGCGACUCUCUGGUCUGUAACUGACGCUGAGGAGCGAAAGCGUGGGGAGCGAACAGGAUUAGAUACCCUGGUAGUCCACGCCGUAAACGAUGAGUGCUAAGUGUUAGGGGUUCCGCCCUCUUAUUGCGAACGGC
rnacentral:rRNA from 1 species